rnacentral:lncRNA from 1 species
AUGCAAGGACCUAACAUUCCAAGUUACUAUGCAAUGUUGCUCUUUACAGCAUUGGACCUUGCUUCUAUCACCAGUCACAUCCACAGCUGCGUAUUAUUUUUGCUUUGGCUCCAUCCCUUCAUUCUUUCUGGAGUUAUUUCUCCACUGAUCUCCAGUAUAUAUUGGAAAACUCAGCAGUGGCCACAAGACUGGAAAAGGUCAGUUUUCAUUCCAAUCCCAAAGAAAGGCAAUGCCAAACAAUGUUCAAACUACCACACAAUUGCACUCAUCUCACAGGCUAAUAAAGUAAUCCUCAAAAUUCUCCAAGCCAGCCUUCAGCAAUACGUGAACUGUGAAAUUACAGAUGUUCAAGCUGGUUUUAGAAAUGGCAGAGGAAUCAGAGAUCAAAUUGCCAACAUCUGCUGGAUCAUCAAAAAAGCAAGAGAGUUCCAGAAAAACAUCUAUUUCUGCUUUAUUGACUAUGCUAAAGCCUUUGACUGUAUGGAGCACAAUACACUGUGGAAAGUUCUGAAAGAGAUGGGAAUACCAGACCACCUGACCUACCUCUUGAGAAACCUAUAUGCAGGUCAGGAAGCAACAGUUAGAACUGGACUUGGAACAACAGACUGGUUCCAAAUAGGAAAAGGAGUAUGUCAAGGCUGUAUAUUUUCACCCUGCUUAUUUAACUUAUAUGCAGAGUACAUCAUGAGAAACACUGGACUGGAAGAAAUGCAAGCUGGAAUCAAGAUUGCCAGGAGAAAUAUCAAUAACCUCAGAUAUGCAGAUGACACCACCCUUUUGGCAGAAAGUGAAGAGGAACUCAAAAGCCUCUUGAUGAAAGUGAAAGAGGAGAGUGAAAGAGUUGGCUUAAAGCUCAACAUUCAGAAAAUGAAGAUCAUGGCACCCGGUCCCAUCACUUCAUGGGAAAUGGAUGGGGAAACAGUGGAAACAGUGUCAGACUUUAUUUUGGGGGGCUCCAAAAUCACUGCAGAUGGUGACUGCAGCCAUGAAACCAAAAGAUGCUUACUCCUUGGAAGAAAAGUUAUGACCAACCUAGACAGCAUAUUAAAAAGCAGAGACAUUACUUUGCCAACAAAGGUCCGUCUAAUCAAGGCUAUGGUUUUUCCAGUGGUCAUGUAUGGAUGUGAGAGUUGGAUUGUGAAGAAAGCUGAGCACUGA